CAGCCGCCGCGGUAUACGAAGGGGGCUAGCGUUGCUCGGAAUGACUGGGCGUAAAGGGCGCGCAGGCGGUUUUGACAGUCAGAUGUGAAAUUCCUGGGCUUAACCUGGGGGCUGCAUUUGAGACGUCAAGACUAGAGUGUGAGAGAGGGUUGUGGAAUUCCCAGUGUAGAGGUGAAAUUCGUAGAUAUUGGGAAGAACACCGGUGGCGAAGGCGGCAACCUGGCCCAUUACUGACGCUGAGGCGCGAAAGCGUGGGGAGCAAACAGGAUUAGAUACCCCCGUAGUCCCUGUCUCUUAUACA
rnacentral:rRNA from 1 species